UACGAAGGGGGCUAGCGUUGUUCGGAAUUACUGGGCGUAAAGCGCACGUAGGCGGUCCUUUAAGUCAGGGGUGAAAGCCCAGAGCUCAACUCUGGAACUGCCUUUGAAACUAGAGGACUUGGGUACGGGAGAGGUGAGUGGAAUUCCGAGUGUAGAGGUGAAAUUCGUAGAUAUUCGGAAGAACACCAGUGGCGAAGGCGGCUCACUGGCCCGUUACCGACGCUCAGGCGCGACAGCGUGGGGAGCAAACAGG
rnacentral:rRNA from 1 species